rnacentral:lncRNA from 1 species
AUGUGUACACAAGUACACAUAAAUAAGCCCACUCAGACGAAAGGAGGGUCAACGUUUAACAUAGAGACUGAAGGCUCCUCGCCUAGGGACAAUGACUGUCAUUUUCCAGGCGAGGAGGGUUGUCACUGGGCAAAUCUAGGUAGAUACCCAUAUACUAAAUAUCGAUGCGACCCAGGAGACAGAAUAGUAAUAGAUGGUAAAAACAAGGGAGCCAGGGUGUUGCCCUCACCCUGGUCCCCCAUUUAUAGCCAAAGGAACCCCCCAGCUGACCAAGGACUAGCACCCAGAGAAGUAAUGAUCUAUCAAUGUCCUGCGAAUAUCCCCAGGGGCCACGAACUAGAUGGGUGGGUCUUAAACCGGGUGUCCCAAGCUCCCCACACAAGAAGGGAGCCUUAUGACCUAACGAGGGGACGGGGUAACCACCAGACGAGACCUAGACAAGCUAGGGGGAUGAGCAGCCAAAGAUCUCUCUCUCCCGCACCUAACACUCAUGCCCAAGGAGGACCCAACUUCAGGACUCGUGCGGUACCAAGAGACACAACUCCCACGCAGCCUCCACCCCUGACGGGGGUUGGGGCCCCCGGACGGGGCCACACUAGGCCCCUCUCUGCUCAACGACCAGAACACUCCCAACAGACUCGGAGGGAAGGCGCCCACCUUCCCUCCAAGGUAUUCUUCCGGGGUCCAGGAGCAGGCAAGAACCAGCUGUUCCAGAUCCAGGAGGGAAAGUGGUUUAGGACGAACAACCACAAGUUGAAGAACCCAGAAUGGACCUUUAACCACGUCUGCGGUCUCCGGCUGGGACCCCGAGGGUGGCCCCAGCUAAAGGAGGACUACCAACACAUCUGGCCCCUUAUCUCCAUCAGAGAAGCGGACCCACUGAUGCCGUACUCCACCCUUGUCGCCUCCACCCCGGAGGACACCAGGGGGAAUCCAGCCCUGGGCAUCAUACGCCUGUCCCGGAAGCUGUUUUAUCAUCUCCCCACAAGGAAGAGGUUCUGUAUCCUGGAAAGCAGCGAUGGACAACACAACAUCUACUUUGAACAACCCCAAGCCCCUUACAUAUGGGGUUGGGCUCCGACUUCGGAUGUAUUUGGACCCCGCUGGCCUUGGCACACAAACACUCACGCACACACAACUACACAUACACACACCCACACACGAGUACACAUAUGCACAUACACUGGUACGGCAUAG